rnacentral:rRNA from 1 species
CGGUGGAGCAUGUGGUUUAAUUCGAUGAUACGCGAGGAACCUUACCUGGGCUCAAAUGUAUGUUGACGUAUUCUGAAAGGGAUACUUCUUCGGACAAUAUACAAGGUGCUGCAUGGUUGUCGUCAGCUCGUGCCGUGAGAUGUUGGGUUAAGUCCCGCAACGAGCGCAACCCUUGCCUUUAGUUGCCAGCAGUUCGGCUGGGCACUCUAAAGGGACUGCCGGUGUUAAACCGGAGGAAGGUGGGGAUGACGUCAAGUCCUCAUGGCCUUUAUGACCAGGGCUACACACGUACUACAAUGGCCGAUACAAAGGGCAGCGACACUGCGAGGUGAAGCCAAUCCCGUAAAAUCGGUCUCAGUCCGGAUUGGAGUCUGCAACUCGACUGCGUGAAGUCGGAAUCGCUAGUAAUCGUGAAUCAGAAUGUCACGGUGAAUACGUUCCCGGGCCUU